ensembl:lincRNA
AUGGGAGAUAACUCUGAGCCAGUUUUAGUCUAUCUAAAAGGAAAUAAAAAUUUUCUCAAAGGUAGGAGAAGGAGGUUUGGGGAUCUAAGAGUGACAGGAGACUUGUACCCCAUCUUUGUCUGGAACACCAGGAGGGAAGGUCCUUCACAGGAGUUGCGACUGGCAUCACAGCAUCAUGGGACCAGUGAAGAUGAAGUAGGAGAGCUGAGGCAAUCCCACCAAUUUCCUGUAGCUCCAGAGAGCAACGGAGGAGAAGAUGAAAUUACCCUGAAAAGUACACAGCUGAUACAAAGUGAAAGGCUGUAA